AUGGCUGCCAUGUGGUCUCCAAUCAUCGCUCUCCUCCUGCUCCUGCUCCCACUCGUGCCAUCCUCCUCCUCCGUCAUCACCCUCCCGCUCCAUGGCAACGUCUACCCUGUCGGCCACUACUAUGUAACGAUGAAGAUUGGUAAACAUCCGAAGCCCUACUUCCUGGACAUCGACACCGGCAGCAACCUCACCUGGCUGGAGUGUCACCACCAGCAACUCGGCUGCCAGCACUGCACCCGGCAUCUAAAACACCCACAUUACUCGCCACAACUUAGCAACUUGAAGAUGGAAUGUCAACACAAGUACUGUGAUGCACUACGGAAAGACCUGGCAGGUAAUAACCCUCAAUGCCCACAUCAGAAGCCACAUCAAUGCCACUACCAAAUUCAAUACCUUGAUGGGACGACAGACGGUGUCAUCUCCAUUGACACGAUCUCUCUCAGGGGAAAUGAAAAAUCCAGUUUCAUUGCCUUCGGAUGUGGAUACAACCAGCUACCACAGAAAGAAACAUCGCCCGUAGAUGGCAUCCUUGGUCUUGGGAUGGGAACGGUAGGUUUUGUCCCACAACUCAUGCUGAACAAGAUGAUCACCAAGAACAUCAUUGGGCAUUGCCUUGGCAAGGAUGGAGGGGGCUACCUCUCCUUUGGGGAGCAGUUUGACCUGGAACGCAUAACCUGGGCACCCAUGAGAAAAUACGAGUAA
rnacentral:rRNA from 1 species